rnacentral:tRNA from 1 species
GCGCCAGUGGUGAAAUUGGUAGACACGCUGGAUUUAGGUUCCAGUGCCGCAAGGCGUGAAGGUUCAAGUCCUUUCUGGCGCACCA